rnacentral:rRNA from 1 species
UACGUAGGGAGCAAGCGUUGUCCGGAAUCAUUGGGCGUAAAGCGCGCGUAGGCGGCCCGAUAAGUCCGCUGUGAAAGUCAACGGCUCAACUGUUGGAUGCCGGUGGAUACUGUCGGGACUAGAGUACGGAAGAGGCAAGUGGAAUUCCUGGUGUAGACGUGAAAUGCGUAGAGAUCAGGAAGAACAUCGGUGGCGAAGCGCUCUGCUGGACCAUAACUGACACUCGA